UUUCAAUCUCUCUCUCUCUCUCUCUACUCUCUCUCCAUUCUUCACUUUCAACAGCAUCAAACAAGAAAUCCGAGCUGUACCGUCUUCUUUUUGUCAAUCGAUCGUCUUCAACAGCAUCCAAUGGCAUAGAAAGGAAGCUGAUGUGUCCAUUGAAUUGAUUUCGUUUAUCUGUUGUUAACCCCUGUUCUGGCAAGCUUCUUCUUCUUCUUUGAACUCUGCCCAUGUUUUCUUAUUUUUGACUUCUGAUUCACUCGCAGUAAAGGAUGAAUCAUGCCAAUCAAAACCAAUAAGUGAACUUACACUAGAGAGAUAGGGUUUAUAAAGUUUUUUGCUGUUUAUGAUAGAAAUCCUAUGAGAUUGGAUAAUCUGCUUCUCCUUGGUGCGAUAUAUUAUCAGGUGUUUGCUUAAAUGCCCCCCUUUGCUUAAAUGAUACCGAGUUCACCAUCUCAUACUCUGAGAUCUGUUGAGAAGUCAGUAAGAGAUAUUCGACAUGUAGAAGGAGAUCUGUUGAGAAGUCAGUAAGAGAUAUUCGAUAAUGCAGAAGUUGUGAGGGUUGAUGCUGACAACAUUAAAGAAAGUUUGGAUAAGAGCUUAAAGCAUCUGAAUAUUGAUUACAUCGAUUUAACUACAGUUCAUUGGUGAGUUUUAAAUCCUUGAAAUUUAAUCCCUUAACCAUAUAACAACCAUCUAUUAUGAGUUUUAAAUCUGUCUGUCAUAAAGAAAUCGCCUUCGACUUCUCCCUUCCAGAUUGAGACUGCGCUUAGGCUUUGGAAUUGGAUAUGACAGCCCAUUGAGCCCGUAUAUUAAUUUUGGUAUUGUUUAUGGUUUCUUGAAUCCG
rnacentral:lncRNA from 1 species